CCUACGGGAGGCAGGAGUGAGGAAUAUUGGUCAAUGGACGAGAGUCUGAACCAGCCAAGUAGCGUGAAGGAUGACUGCCCUAUGGGUUGUAAACUUCUUUUAUAUGGGAAUAAAACGUUCCACGUGUGGGAUUUUGUAUGUACCAUAUGAAUAAGGAUCGGCUAACUCCGUGCCAGCAGCCGCGGUAAUACGGAGGAUCCGAGCGUUAUCCGGAUUUAUUGGGUUUAAAGGGAGCGUAGGUGGAUUGUUAAGUCAGUUGUGAAAGUUUGCGGCUCAACCGUAAAAUUGCAGUUGAAACUGGCAGUCUUGAGUACAGUAGAGGUGGGCGGAAUUCGUGGUGUAGCGGUGAAAUGCUUAGAUAUCACGAAGAACUCCGAUUGCGAAGGCAGUUCACUGGACUGCAACUGACACUGAGGCUCGAAAGUGUGGGUAUCAAACAGGAUUAGAUACCCUUGUAGUC
rnacentral:rRNA from 1 species